GAUCCUGCCAGUAGUGUAUGCUUCUCCUAAAGACUAAGCCAUGCAUGUCUUCGAAUAAGAGGUAGCAAUUCUCUCUGAAUCUGCGAACGGCUCCGCAAACCAGUUGUAAACUAUAGCAAGCAAGCCUGUGCUCCCUUCACGGGGGGUGUGGGCAAGAUGGAUAACCCUGGUAAUUCUGAGGCUAAUACAAGAACGUGCUUCCCUGCUAACCGGGCGACUGGAAGGUGGGGAGGCGUGUGAUUUAAGCACGAGGGACUGCUGGGAAUGGACACACGCCUGGACCGCGCCAAAGACAGAUGGGGCUUCCCCUCGGGGUCGCCCUGCCUGAGCGGCUCUUGCAAAGUGCUUCUGACCUAUCAACUAGAUGGCAGCGUAACGGACAUGCUAUGGUGACAACGGGUACAGAGGAUAAGGGUUCGAUCCUGGAGAGUGGGCCUGAGAGAUUGCUCAUACUUCUAAGGAAGGCAGCAGGCGCGCAACGUUCCCCUUGUGCAAUGCAUGAGGGCGUUAGGGGACAUAUGAAUGCCUGCCCAUUGGGUGGGCAAUUCAAAUGGGUCUGUUGUAAACAGGCUCUCGAGUAACAAUUAGAGGACAAGUCUGGUGCCAGCACCCGCGGUAAUUCCAGCUCUAAGAGCAUACGUUAAAGUUGUUGCGGUUAAAACGCUCGUAGUCGGCUUAAGAUUGUCAGAAGCUCGAACUGCGACCCUGGGUCUGCUGCCUUUCGGGGCGCGCUGGGCGAGUGGGGAGGGUAGGCGGCGGUCAAGUGUGCUCCUGGCUGUCCUUCGGGUCACAGGGCUCAGCCUCGGCUGGGUUCGGCUGGGAGUGCCAAUUACUAUGACUAAACUGGGUUGAUCCAAUAAGGUCGUAUGAUCUUGCACAGCACAGCAUGGUAUAAAUUAAACCCGCUUGGCUUCUCCUCGUGGGGGCUGGGUGGGCAGAGGCGAAAGGGGUGUUCGAGGGUGACCGAAUUGCCGGGCGAGUGGUGAAAUACGUUGACCCUGGCAAGUCGACCAAAGGCGAAAGCAGUCAUCAAGGGCACGCCCGUUGAUCAAGAGCGAAAGUUAAGGGUUCGAAGACGAUCAGAUACCGUCGUAGUCUUAACUAUAAAUGAUACUGACCAGGGAUAGGACACUGUCCAUCUCGACUCCUUCUGGACCUUGGAGAAAUUACAGUCUUUGAGUUCUGGGGGGAGUAUGGUCGCAAGGCUG
rnacentral:rRNA from 1 species